rnacentral:misc_RNA from 1 species
CUGAGUUUUCAACUCUCCAAACCAUGUGAACUUACCACUGUUGCCUCGGUGGUUGGUCUUCGGACUGACCACCGGUGGACUACUAAACUCUUGUUAAUUUUUGGCAUCCUGAAUCAUAACUAAGAAAUAAGUUA